rnacentral:rRNA from 1 species
UACGUAGGGGGCUAGCGUUGUCCGGAUUUAUUGGGCGUAAAGAGCGUGUAGGCGGCCAGGUAGGUCUGCUGUGAAAACUCGAGGCUCAACCUCGAGACGUCGGCGGAAACCAUCUGGCUAGAGUCCGGAAGAGGAGAGUGGAGUUCCUGGUGUAGCGGUGAAAUGCGCAGAUAUCAGGAAGAACACCCGUGGCUAAGGCGGCUCUCUAGUACGGUACUGACGCUGAGACGCGAAAGCGUGAGGAGCGAACAGG